rnacentral:sRNA from 1 species
GACGAAUGGCGUGACAGCCAAGUCAAAUUACCGAGGUAUUUGCAGCGCAAGUAUGACAGUGAACUGAUUUGGGGCUCUAACAAUAGGAUUAAAGGUGGUUCUAAACACGCACUGAUCUCUUACUUGACAGAUAAUGAAAAGAAGGAUCUAUUUUUCGAUAUUACUUUUUUAAUCACUUUCAGAAGCAUCUUUACUACAACGGAGUUUUUAAGCUACUUGAUCUCGCAAUAUAAUUUGGAUCCACCAGAGGAUUUGUGCUUUGAAGAAUACAAUGAAUGGGUGACGAAAAAGCUUAUACCGGUUAAAUGUAGGGUGGUUGAGAUUAUGACAACCUUUUUCAAGCAAUAUUGGUUCCUGGGCUAUGAUGAGCCCGAUCUUGCGACCCUAAAUCUGGAUUAUUUUGCGCAAGUAGCAAUCAAGGAAAAUAUAACAGGAUCUGUGGAAUUACUAAAGGAGGUCAAUCAGAAGUUUAAACAUGGUAAUAUACAAGAAGCGACUGCACCAAUGAAAACGUUAGAUCAACAGAUCUGCCAGGACCAUUACUCGGGCACUUUAUACUCUACCACGGAAUCCAUUUUGGCCGUCGAUCCAGUUUUAUUUGCCACUCAAUUAACGAUACUAGAGCAUGAAAUUUAUUGUGAGAUAACCAUUUUUGAUUGUUUACAAAAAAUUGGAAGAACAAGUAUACAAAAUCGUAUGGGGCUUCACCGGGUUUGAACGAGUUUAUCAGUUUUGCCAAUAAACUGACAAAUUUCAUAUCCUACUCUGUUGUAAAGGAGGCUGAUAAAAGUAAGCGCGCCAAGCUACUCUCUCAUUUUAUUUUUAUCGCAGAAUAUUGUAGGAAAUUCAAUAACUUUUCUUCCAUGACUGCAAUCAUUUCAGCAUUAUAUUCUUCACCAAUUUAUCGUUUAGAGAAAACCUGGCAGGCAGUUAUUCCUCAAACGAGAGAUCUAUUGCAGUCACUGAACAAGUUGAUGGAUCCCAAGAAAAAUUUCAUAAAUUACAGAAACGAGCUGAAGUCUUUACUUAGCGCUCCCUGCGUACCGUUUUUCGGCGUUUAUUUAUCUGAUCUAACCUUUACUGAUUCCGGAAAUCCGGAUUAUCUUGUCUUGGAACAUGGUUUAAAGGGUGUCCAUGAUGAGAAGAAAUAUAUAAACUUCAACAAAAGGAGCAGACUUGUUGAUAUCUUACAAGAGAUCAUAUAUUUCAAGAAAACACAUUAUGAUUUCACUAAAGAUCGGACGGUAAUUGAAUGUAUAUCAAAUUCAUUGGAAAACAUCCCCCAUAUUGAGAAACAAUACCAAUUAUCAUUAAUUAUUGAACCAAAACCAAGAAAGAAAGUCGUUCCGAAUUCCAAUUCGAAUAAUAAAUCACAAGAAAAAUCCAGGGAUGACCAAACCGAUGAAGGAAAAACAUCCACUAAGAAAGACAGAUUUCCAAAAUUUCAAUUACAUAAGACAAAGAAAAAAGCUCCCAAGGUUUCUAAGUAACGGCGCCGUAUGUUCGAUUUCCUUCUCUCGGUGGAUUAAUUAUUUUGUUUGUUUUCUCCUGUUAUAUUAUUUAUUGAUCACUAUAGUAAACUAUGUCCGUCAUCAAGCCCGACGGCUGCUAUCCCACAAUGUUGAUCGUAUUGUUUGCCUAGUUUAUUAUAUAUUUGCUUAUUUAUAGCAUACCAUAAUAUUUAAAUGCCCUCAAAUUUUUGGCC